rnacentral:rRNA from 1 species
CAGCCGUAAACUAUGCGCGUUAGGUGUACUGGUGACCACGAGUCACCGGGGUGCCGAAGGGAAACCGUGAAACGUGCCGCCUGGGAAGUACGGUCGCAAGGCUGAAACUUAAAGGAAUUGGCGGGGAGCACCACAACGGGUGGAGCCUGCGGUUUAAUUUGGACUCAACGCCGGAAAUCUCACCGGAUAGGACAGACAUAUGAUAGUCGGGCUGAAGACUCUACUUGAUGAUCUGAGAGGAGGUGCAUGGCGUCAGUGACU